rnacentral:rRNA from 1 species
GUGGGGAAUCUUCCGCAAUGGACGAAAGUCUGACGGAGCGACGCCGCGUGAGUGAAGAAGGCCUUCGGGUCGUAAAGCUCUGUUGUUUAGGACGAAAGUGCCUGUUGCAAACAGUUACAGGUAUUGACGGUACUAAACGAGGAAGCCACGGCUAACUCCGUGCCAGCAGCCGCGGUAAUACGGAGGGUGCGAGCGUUGUCCGGAUUUAUUGGGUUUAAAGGGUGCGUAGGCUGGAAGGUCAGUCAGCGGUGAAAAGCUGUCGCUCAACGAUAGUCUUGCCGCAGAUACUUCCUUUCUUGGAUGAGGAGGAGGCCACUGGAACGGAUGGUGUAGCGGUGAAAUGCAUAGAUAUCAUCCAGAACACCGAUUGCGAAGGCAGGUGGCUGUACCUUAAUCGACGCUGAUGCACGAAAGCAUGGGGAGCAAACAGGAUUAGAUACCCCUGUAGUCC